rnacentral:misc_RNA from 1 species
AAUCGCUUUUCAGCUGAGCUUCCGUUUCCUCGAAAAAUGUUCUCAAAAAUACACUGCCCAAUAGAAACCGACGAGUUUUGAACUUUGCGGGGAUGUCAGGUCGCUGGAGAGAUGUUUGCACAAAUGUUUCUGAGCACACACACGAAAAUCUUUGCAAUUGAGAUGCAAAUUGAAUUAUUGUUUGAAUUCUGGCUUUGUUUACGCCGCUUGUUCGAUAAACAUCGGGGCGAAAUGCAGUCAGUGAUAUGUUUGCUGUUGUGUUUGUCGUGUGCUUUAGCUUUUUGUAAAUAUAAACAAAGUCCGGGGACGGGGCGGGAGCGGUGAUGUCGCGGCGGCGGUUGGCGCAAAUAAAAGUUAAAAAUAAAAACUUAUAAUUGUCCGACGGCUGUUGUUAUUUUUAUUAUUGUUGCCAUUUAUUUUUGGAAAUAGACGUUGAAUUUGUUUAUAUGGAGUAAAAAUAAAUUAUUGCGCGUAGUGCGAGAGCAGCGGGCCAGCAUAAUUUCUCGCGGCGUUCGAUUUAAGAUUUCUAUCUGUUGUGAAUCGCUAGCGGAAUCGGAUCGUUGGAUCUUUGGCUCGGAAUGAAAAUAUCGAACUCGCAAACGGAUCCCAAACUGAUCUGCCGAAAUCGAAUCGAAUCGAAAUCUCAAAAUCUCGAAAUCCCGAAAACCGAAAAACUGAAGAAGCGGCGCUGCGGACGCGUACAAACGUACUGACGGAUAUGCCGUCGUUGACGUCGUAACGCCAAGUACGCACACACAGAUACGCCCGCACACAACUGCACUGGCAGGCUCUCUCGUAGUCCCACACACAAACAGGCACAGCCACCAACGAACACAAUAUCGCACACACACAUCACACCAGAGAAUGAGAGAGCGGGAGAGAAAGGGAGUGCGCAGUCGCUGACUUUGAGUUCUUACUCACAACGAAAGCAAGAGUGAGCGAGAGGUGGCGGGCUGGUGGGAACGCACUGUUUACGCCAUCUGGUGGGCAUUUGGUGAAGCUGUAGCCGAUCGUGAGAAUGUCUCCAUCUUUCGGGCUGAGUAUUACAGAACGACCUCUGGCGGCGAACUGGCACAUCACUUGUUGGCAACAUGUUGCUGGCUUCACUCAACAUUUUGAAUUCUCCCGAUUCUUUAUUUAUUACUCUUUUUCUUUCUUCGCAAACAGAUGUUUCCCCUUUAUUUUGGGAAAUUUCACGACUUAUGACAGCAGAAUUGCACUUUACUGGAUGAAAUGAAACUUAAUUGGCACCGCUUUACUCACGUCCGAUGAUCGAUUGCGUUUCGAUUGUCCACGAAUGGAAACGAUAAUACGAUGUGACACGGACACUGGCGAGACGAGCCGAUUGAUUCGGAUUGAGGAUUGGAAAUGAAAAUAUUGUACAAGAAUCUAUAUGUGCGAGGAGGUAUAGACGUGUGUAUAUUUCCUACACUUCACUUUACUGGCGCAGAAAAUCGCAUAUACACCGAGAAUGUAUAAUUAUAAAUAAAUGUUCUAUAAAAAACG